rnacentral:rRNA from 1 species
CCCUUAGAUGUUCUGGGCCGCACGCGCGCUACACUGAUGAAUGCAACGAGCUCUACCCUUGACCGAAAGGCCCGGGUAAACUUGUGAAACUUCAUCGUGAUGGGGAUAGAUUAUUGCAAUUAUUAAUCUUCAACGAGGAAUUCCUAGUAAGCGCGAGUCAUCAGCUCGCGUUGAUUACGUCCCUGCCCUUUGUACACACCGCCCGUCGCUCCUACCGACUGAAUGGUCCGGUGAAAUCUUCGGAUUGCUGACCAAGAUCCAGCAAUGGAGCUUGGUUGCGAGAAGUUGAUUAAACCUUAUUAUUUAGAGGAAGGAGAAGUCGUAACA